AGAACGAACGCUGGCGGCAUGCCUAAUACAUGCAAGUCGAACGAACACUUCGGUGUUAGUGGCGCACGGGUGCGUAACGCGUGGGAAUCUGCCCUUGGGUUCGGAAUAACAGUUGGAAACGACUGCUAAUACCGGAUGAUGACGAAAGUCCAAAGAUUUAUCGCCCAGGGAUGAGCCCGCGUAGGAUUAGCUAGUUGGUGAGGUAAAGCUCACCAAGGCGACGAUCCUUAGCUGGUCUGGAGAGGAUGAUCAGCC
rnacentral:rRNA from 1 species